UUUUUUUUAUAAUCUCUACAAGCUCAAGCCAACGCAUGCAGUACCUUAAAAUUCUCUCUCUCACCCCAAAUAGUAUCAUAACCGGAGAUAGUUUUUGGGUUUGCUCAACAAUGACACUAAAGGGAAUUCAAGUAACCAUUUAUUUGUCGUCGAAUUCGAUACAACACAAGGAUUCAAAGAUGGCUAUGACAGAACAUGCAACCAUAUAGGCAUUAACUACAAUAAUCUCAAACCAAAAAAAAGUAAAAA
rnacentral:sRNA from 1 species